UGUUGGGGAGGUAACGGCUCACCAAGGCGACGACGGUAGCCGGCCUGAGAGGGCGACCGGCCACACUGGGACUGAGACACGGCCCAGACUCCUACGGGAGGCAGCAGUGGGGAAUAUUGCACAAUGGGCGAAAGCCUGAUGCAGCGACGCCGCGUGAGGGAUGACGGCCUUCGGGUUGUAAACCUCUUUCAGCAGGGAAGAAGCGAAAGUGACGGUACCUGCAGAAGAAGCGCCGGCUAACUACGUGCCAGCAGCCGCGGUAAUACGUAGGGCGCAAGCGUUGUCCGGAAUUAUUGGGCGUAAAGAGCUCGUAGGCGGCUUGUCGCGUCGGUUGUGAAAGCCCGGGGCUUAACCCCGGGUCUGCAGUCGAUACGGGCAGGCUAGAGUUCGGUAGGGGAGAUCGGAAUUCCUGGUGUAGCGGUGAAAUGCGCAGAUAUCAGGAGGAACACCGGUGGCGAAGGCGGAUCUCUGGGCCGAUACUGACGCUGAGGAGCGAAAGCGUGGGGAGCGAACAGGAUUAGAUACCCUGGUAGUCCACGCCGUAAACGGUGGGCACUAGGUGUGGGCAACAUCCACGU
rnacentral:rRNA from 1 species